rnacentral:rRNA from 1 species
GAUGAACGCUGGCGGCGUGCCUAACACAUGCAAGUCGAACGAAGCACUGAAAACGGAGAUUCGUCGAAGUUUUCUUUGACUUAGUGGCGGACGGGUGAGUAAUGCGUGAGCAACCUGCCUUUCAGAGGGGGACAACAGUUGGAAACGACUGCUAAUACCGCAUAACAUAUUCGGAUCGCAUGGUCUGAAUAUCAAAGAUUUAUCGCUGAAAGAUGGGCUCACGUCUGAUUAGCUAGUUGGUGAGGUAACGGCUCACCAAGGCUGCGAUCGGUAGCCGGACUGAGAGGUUGAACGGCCACAUUGGGACUGAGAUACGGCCCAGACUCCUACGGGAGGCAGCAGUGGGGAAUAUUGGGCAAUGGGCGAAAGCCUGACCCAGCAACGCCGCGUGAAGG